AUUGAACGCUGGCGGCAGGCCUAACACAUGCAAGUCGAGCGAGCGGCGGACGGGUGAGUAAUGCUUGGGAAUCUAGCUUAUGGAGGGGGAUAACUACGGGAAACUGUCGCUAAUACCGCGUACCAUAGGAUGAGCCCAAGUGGGAUUAGGUAGUUGGUGAGGUAAAGGCUCACCAAGCCGACGAUCUCUAGCUGGUCUGAGAGGAUGAACAGCCACCCUGGGACUGAGACACGGCCCAUACUCCUACGGGAGGCAGCAGUGGGGAAGAUGGCGCAAUGGGGGCAACCUGACGCAGCCAUGCCGCGUGAAUGAAGAAGUCCUUCGGGUUGUAAAGUUCUUUCGGUAGCGAGGCGUUAACUACAGAAGAAGCACCGGCUAACUCCGUGCCAGCAGCCGCGGUAAUUC
rnacentral:rRNA from 1 species